UUAAAUAGAAAGAAUAACAAAAGAAGAAAAUAAAGGAAGAAAAAGAAAUAUUCUAAAGCUAUAUUAAUAUUCUUGUAGUUGAAUUUGGAGGUCACAUGGGACUGGGAUUAGUGGGAAGAGAACUAACAAAAACACCUUUGUAAAAAUAUACACUCAAGAAAGAAAAAAAAUUCACAAAACUAUUAAAAUAUACCACUUAGCAUGCUGCGGAAUCUGUUCAUAGACAGCUUCUUCACAAGCUUCUUAGCAUCCGAACCUUCAGUUUCUGCUAGCUUCUCUAUGCUUUUCAAGUACCCUGAACUCACAAUCUUUCUCCUCGCGCUAUUGCAGCUCGUUAAAGACAUCAAUAUAGAUAUCAAGAACUUUGUGCUACCCGAAUCGCUGCCCGCAUUGCUCCCAUCUUCAUGGUCUAGCAGUUUGAGAAUGUAUCCAAUGUUAAAGUCGUCUUGCGCAAACUUCUUCCUGUUCUUUGGAACCGAGAUCAAACAGUAUAACGCCACGCUCGCCAUCUGUCUUACAUCAAAUGAUUUAGCGUCAAGAAACUUAACUAACUCGGGCAUAAAGCCAGCGUCUCCCAUUAUCCUCUUAACCUCUUCUGGUAAGCUACAGAGCCUUGACGUAACCUUCAAGGCUGAUUCUUGAACAGAGAUCUCCCCAUUGCUUAGAAGAUACAGCAAAUGAUCCAAGAACUUGCAACUCAGCAAUGCAUUCAAACAACCGGGUGACCCGAAACAUAAGUUAUCAAUUGCCCUUAACGCUAUCUCCUUAGAUUUAGAAGAGGACAACGGAUUGGGAUCUGAUAACACACUCACUAGCUCCUGGAUUCCUCCUUGUCUAACCAAGGCUUCACGAGUCUGCUCAUCUUUAGAACACAUACUUAGCAAAAGAUCAAUAGAAUUUACCUGAACAAUCUCUUCCUUUGACCCAAUAAGCUUAAUGAAAGUGGUCAUCGUAUCGUCUUCUUCGAUCAUAUACCUCUUGAUCUCUUCAACACCGACGAGAUUCCUCAACACUCCACACGAGCUAGCGAUCAACUCGCCGCUAAACUCGCCGCAAGAACAGAUCUUUAGCAGUGCAGAGACGCCUCCUUGAGCAGAGACAGACCAAGCGUUCUCCGAGUUCUCCGUUAAUUUCAUCAAACACCUUGCAGACGCUUCUCUACCAACAGAGCUCCCGUUCUCAAGAACCCUAACCAAAGGCCCAAUCACACCCGACCGAACCAAAACAGACUUGUAAGAACCAAACCCAGAAAUAAAAAACAAAGCUUUAACAGAUUCCUCCUGAACCCCAAUCUCGGAAUCAAGAAACCCGACAAGGAGAUUAACCAAAUCGUUGCCUUCAGUCACAAUCUUGACGUAUCUAUCGUCCUCCUCCAUGGCUUCGUUAAGCUUCACCAAAGCCUGCCUCUUCAUCUCCAGAUCUCCGACCUUCAUCCUCGUCAUCAAAUCCCUAACGUAGAACCUGACGUCCUCCUUGCACGCGCCGCCGCCGGGCUUCGACACGACGAUCGCGAAGCCGCGGCUCAGGAUCCCGGCGGAGUAGAUCCGGGAGAGGUUCCUCGCGUGGCGGUCGAAGCUCGCGGCCAUCACGUCCAAAUCGCUCUGCAUCAGGAGCUUCCCGCUGUACGCGACGUUCAUGCAGCGCGUGGCGAGGUCGUAGCAGUCGGUUAGAGAGAUUAGGACGGCGGAGAUUAGGGAGGAGAGAGACGGGUCGUGUCCGGAGUCGUCGAGAUUGGAGAGGGCGGCGAGGCCGGAGUAGAGCUCGUCGAGCUUGGUUCUGAUGAGUUGCCAUUUGACGGUGAAGGAUUUGAUUGAGUGAGAGAGUGAGAUCAGUGAAGAUAUCGCUUCGAUUGCUUUCUCGAUGCUGGUUCUUGAUUCAUCACUUGUUUCUUCACCCAUCUUCAGAUUCUUCUUCUUCUUGUUCUUAGUCUUAAGUGGUUUUAAAGCAAAAACCCAUCUCGAAAGGAGAUCUCUUUCUCUCUCUAUUGAUAGAGAAGAUGACGAAUUUUAUUCCUACCACAAGGACAACGAUGGAAAAGACGGAGACUUUCACAGGUAAUCUCGUUGGCUUAUCGGCUAUGGUUAAUGGGUUUGACGAGAGAGAGAGAGAGAAAUGGUUUCGCAAUUUGACGGGCUGGCCUUCUCUUUGGUGGGGUUGGAGGCAGUAGUGACAUGUCCAAGAAGAAGAAGAUGAAGGUGAGGGUGAAAUGGUCAUUUUGUUUUCCUUUGGAAGGAGGUGGACGAAAAAAGUUUUAUUAUUAUUCUUUAGCUUUGUUUAAUACUUUUUCCAUUUCUAUUUAAAAAAAAAAAAAUAUUAGACAAAAAUUCCACUAAACUAUCUGUAAUUAUGAAUUUUCUUUUCCUCUUUGUUUUGUUUUCGGAAGAAGAGAAACUUGAGAAUCACUCAUAUGAAAUGAACAUCUGUAAUCUAUUAUAUAGUUUUAUUUUAUUUUUUGUAAUAUGAGUUUGAAGCUUAACUCUAAAGGACCAUUCAAUAUUUGCACGAGCACACGAGAAACCCGGAAGUGGAAAUGGUUAUGGGCGGUGAAGCUGGUAGACUAUCUGUACAACUUAUACUAAUUUUUUGUCAUUAUCUAAAUUUCACUUUUUGCAGCAGCAGGCAUUAUCUUAGUUAACUGGUUUGGUUCAGGCAUGGUGUUCGGUUAUAACGGGUAAUCUGGUUAGGUUUAUUUUGUUUUACGUCAGUUUAAUUUUUGGUUCAAAAUCUGGAAUACAAUGAUAAAAAUAAUUAUUUUUUAAAAGUAUCUAAAUCAUUAUAAAUUGGUGUGGUUCGAUUCCAUCUUUAUUUUAUAACUAGUUUACUAUUUCUGUUCGAUUUUUAAACUAAUUGAUUCACUGAACUAUUAACCAAAUAACAAUUCUUAACAAACCAAAAUCGACAGCUGACAAUUUAGGUUCAGCUUACAAAAAUAAGAUUGGUUUGGAAUUGUUGGCCAGUUUGAGAGCAGAGUUUAUGAAAACAACAGUAAGAAGAAUAAAAGUAGAGUUAUUCUUGGGUUCACCCCCUAGGGUGAACCUAAAGGUUCACCAACCAAUAGAAAAUUAUCAUUUUAAAUCUAGUAUCUUUUAAUUAUGGAAACCAAAUAACUUGGCAAAUUAUAUUAUUUUUUCAAAAUAAAAUUUAAAAAUAAAUAAAAAUAAUAUAUAAAAAACGAAUUCAAAAAAAAAAAUGUUGUCAACAAAACACUAAACCCUAAACUCUAAUACUAAACCCUAAACUCAAAUCCUAAACACUUCGGGAGCGACCUCAGUGGGUCGCUCUGAGAGGUCGCUCCGGGCUUCGUUUUGUGUCAUCUCGCCAUGGAAACGCGAGCGACCUCGGAGCGUCGCUCUGGCAAGUCGCUCUGAGAGGGGUGUCUCACGAUAGAAACGCGAGCGACCUCUCCAUGUCGCUCUGGCCAGGUCGCUCCGGGAUGUGUGUCACAGCGACUUCACGGCGUCGCUCCGGUGAGGUCCCUCUGGUGCGCUGCUCGUCCGUUGAUCGCUUUAAACACUUCUUUUGAGCUCCAAAUGCACCCAAAUGCCUCCAAGAACUCCAUGUGGUACUCCAACACCUGAUAAAGACUCAUGUAUGCAAAAUGCAACCUAAACGUGGCUAAAUCCUAGUAUAUAUGAUCAAAAUGCACAUGGAUGAAUGGACAAGACAAUGAAAAUAUGCAAGAUAUCAGGUUUUGACCAAACCACACAAAGAAGAAACUAGUCAACGGAUUUGUCUUCUUCUUUUAACGGAUUUCAUGUUCAUCAGUGGCAGAAGAUAGAUAAGCAAUCACGACGAUUGGCUGCACAAACGCAGAGCAAAUCUUUGUCCAAUUCGUACACCAAAUGAGUAGGUCCAUUGUCGUAUAUGUAAGAGAUGUGGAUAAAAAAAUGUUGUGGCACUAGUUAACUGAUCAGCUUAUGUUAAUUUCAAAAACUUGUCAUUUUAUGUAAGAGUAAAAUUGAUACUUAGGCGGUUGUGGACCUAAGUCUGUAAUUUUCACAAUCCCAAAAAUCACAACAUAUAUUAUUAGUUUUGUCACAAACGUGAUUCGAUCAUGUUAUCUUUAGGCUUUGUCUUUGAUAUUUUUCAGUUGAGUUAAAAGACAUUUGGUUUUAAGAAAAAAUAUUUUGUUAUAGCCAACUUUAAUCCUCACAACUUCUACUAUACCAAGUUACCAACUUAUAACCGAAACUUGUAAUAGCCGUCUUUUUUAGGACCAUCGUCUCCCGGAGUUACUAGGCCGCCAUUAGCCGAACAAGUGUUACCAUAAGCAUAUUUGUGUGCCACCAACCGCACAUGGCCUCCAAAUCUUACUCAUAACACUACAAGUUUUGAGUAACAAAAAUACACAUUUUUUUAAUUCUCAUAUGAUGAUCCAUCACUCUCACUUCUCUCUCUCCGUAUAAUUGAAGUGUGGUAGAUGGGAGAUAGCACUCUAUCUCUACACAAACCUCACAUGCUUCUUUAUCACUUGAUACCAUGUGCUUCCCCUUUUCCAUAUAUACUUCCAAGAUUACAUGCAUUCAUAGAAAAACAAUUCCUUAAAUUCAGUUUCAUUUUUCUAACCAAAUCUCUUAGCUUGGAUCUUAACGUAUGUCUUAUUUAGGCGCAUUGCCAUUUAUUUCUUCACUAAAGUUGCAAGGGUAAAGGAUCAAGGUAAGAAAAUGCUUUGUUUGAUCAUUUAAUUCCUUAAAUAAUUUGAGUUUAGUGCCAUUUGAUUGAGAACUAUUAUCCCAAAAGUGCAAAUUAUUGCAGCUUCUAAGAAGAAUCUUUAAUCUAUAUAUUAAAGAGUUAAAAAGAUAACUUUUUUAAGAUACCCACUAUAUAAAAAAAAAAACUCUUUUUGUUUUCAUUUCACCAAAUUAAAUAGAAAGAAUAACAAAAGAAGAAAAUAAAGGAAGAAAAAGAAAUAUUCUAAAGCUAUAUUAAUAUUCUUGUAGUUGAAUUUGGAGGUCACAUGGGACUGGGAUUAGUGGGAAGAGAACUAACAAAAACACCUUUGUAAAAAUAUACACUCAAGAAAGAAAAAAAAUUCACAAAACUAUUAAAAUAUACCACUUAGCAUGCUGCGGAAUC
rnacentral:lncRNA from 1 species